GACGAACGCUGGCGGCGUGCCUAAUACAUGCAAGUCGAGCGGACAGAAGGGAGCUUGCUCCCGGAAGUUAGCGGCGGACGGGUGAGUAACACGUGGGCAACCUACCCUGUAGAUCGGGAUAACAUCGAGAAAUCGGUGCUAAUACCGGAUAAUCAUUUGAAGUGCAUGCUUCGAAUGUAAAAGAUGGCUCCGGCUAUCACUACGGGAUGGGCCCGCGGCGCAUUAGCUAGUUGGUAAGGUAAUGGCUUACCAAGGCAACGAUGCGUAGCCGACCUGAGGGGGGGAUCGGCCAAACUGGGACUGAGACACGGCCCAGACUCCUACGGGAGGCAGCAGUAGGGAAUCUUCCGCAAUGGACGAAAGUCUGACGGAGCAACGCCGCGUGAGUGAUGAAGGUUUUCGGAUCGUAAAGCUCUGUUGUUAGGGAAGAACAAGUGCCGUUUGAAUAAGGCGGCACCUUGACGGUACCUAACCAGAAAGCCACGGCUAACUACGUGCCAGCAGCCGCCGUAACAC
rnacentral:rRNA from 1 species